UCGAGCGGAAAGGCCCCUUCGGGGGUACUCGAGCGGCGAACGGGUGAGUAACACGUGAGCAACCUGCCCCUGACUCUGGGAUAAGCCCGGGAAACUGGGUCUAAUACCGGAUGUGACCAGCCUCCGCAUGGAGUGCUGGUGGAAAGUUUUUCGGUUGGGGAUGGGCUCGCGGCCUAUCAGCUUGUUGGUGGGGUGAUGGCCUACCAAGGCGACGACGGGUAACCGGCCUGAGAGGGCGACCGGUCACACUGGGACUGAGACACGGCCCAGACUCCUACGGGAGGCAGCAGUGGGGAAUAUUGCGCAAUGGGCGGAAGCCUGACGCAGCGACGCCGCGUGAGGGAUGACGGCCUUCGGGUUGUAAACCUCUUUCAGCAGGGACGAAGCUAACGUGACGGUACCUGCAGAAGAAGCGCCGGCUAACUACGUGCCAGCAGC
rnacentral:rRNA from 1 species